rnacentral:rRNA from 1 species
GCAUGUGAAAGCCCCGGGCUCAACCUGGGAACUGCAUCCAAAACUGGCAAGCUAGAGUACGGUAGAGGGUGGUGGAAUUUCCUGUGUAGCGGUGAAAUGCGUAGAUAUAGGAAGGAAUACCGAUGGCGAAGGCAGCCAUCUGGCCUAAUACUGACACUGAGGUACGAAAGCAUGGGGAGCAAACAGGAUUAGAUACCCUGGUAGUCCAUGCCGUAAACGAUGUCUACUAGCCGUUGGGGCCUUUGAGGCUUUAGUGGCGCAGCUAACGCGAUAAGUAGACCGCCUGGGGAGUACGGUCGCAAGACUAAAACUCAAAUGAAUUGACGGGGGCCCGCACAAGCGGUGGAGCAUGUGGUUUAAUUCGAUGCAACGCGAAGAACCUUACCUGGUCUUGACAUAGUAAGAACUUUCCAGAGAUGGAUUGGUGCCUUCGGGAACUUACAUACAGGUGCUGCAUGGCUGUCGUCAGCUCGUGUCGUGAGAUGUUGGGUUAAGUCCCGCAACGAGCGCAACCCUUUUCCUUAUUUGCCAGCACUUCGGGUGGGAACUUUAAGGAUACUGCCAGUGACAAACUGGAGGAAGGCGGGGACGACGUCAAGUCAUCAUGGCCCUUACGACCAGGGCUACACACGUGCUACAAUGGUCGGUACAAAGGGUUGCUACCUAGCGAUAGGAUGCUAAUCUCAAAAACCCGAUCGUAGUCCGGAUUGGAGUCUGCAACUCGACUCCAUGA